rnacentral:rRNA from 1 species
AUUGAACGCUGGCGGCAUGCCUUACACAUGCAAGUCGAACGGUAACAGGUCUUCGGAUGCUGACGAGUGGCGAACGGGUGAGUAAUACAUCGGAACGUGCCCAGUCGUGGGGGAUAACGCAGCGAAAGCUGUGCUAAUACCGCAUACGAUCUAUGGAUGAAAGCGGGGGAUCGCAAGACCUCGCGCGAUUGGAGCGGCCGAUAUCAGAUUAGGUAGUUGGUGGGGUAAAGGCCCACCAAGCCAACGAUCUGUAGCUGGUCUGAGAGGACGACCAGCCACACUGGAACUGAGACACGGUCCAGACUCCUACGGGAGGCAGCAGUGGGGAAUCUUGGGCAAUGGGCGAAAGCCUGACCCAGCGACGCCGCGUGGAGGAAGAAGUCCUUCGGGGCGUAAACUCCUGGACUGGGGACGAGGUAAGGACGGUACCCCAGUAGAAAGGGACGGACUAACUACGUG